GACGGGGGAUGCAAGUGUUAUCCGGAUUUACUGGGCGUAAAGCGUCUGCAGGUGGUUUCUUAAGUCUACUGUUAAAUCUUGAGGCUCAACCUCAAAUCUGCAGUAGAAACUAGGAGACUUGAGUAUAGUAGGGGUAGAGGGAAUUUCCAGUGGAGCGGUGAAAUGCGUAGAUAUUGGAAAGAACACCGAUGGCGAAGGCACUCUACUGGGCUAUUACUGACACUCAAAGACGAAAGCUAGGGGAGCAAAUGGG
rnacentral:rRNA from 1 species